GAUGUAAUAUUAUUUAUUUUUUUUUUUCUUUUAGAUAUGUAUUUUAUACUUCUAUAACACACAUAAUAUUUACGUUCAUCAAAAUGGAAUUCUUAUUGUUGGAAGAAAAAUAUAAAAACAUUGUGGAUAAGUCAAACUAUGAAAAUAUGAUUCUUAAGAGAGAAACAGAAUGCCUACAAAAAAAAAUCAAGAAUUUAGAAGAUGUUUAUAUCGAAAAAGAAAAUAAAAUUAUGGAAAUAUUAGAAGAGAAAGAAGAUCUUAAAGAUCAUAUAUUCGAAAUAGAAAACGAAAAUUCCAAACUAAGGGAUAAUAUUGCCAAGCUUAAUGAAAGAAUAUUAGAUUUAACAGAUGUGUGUAAACAUACAGACAUAUGA
rnacentral:lncRNA from 1 species